rnacentral:rRNA from 1 species
UACGGGGGGGGUAAGCGUUGUUCGGAAUUACUGGGCGUAAAGGGCUCGUAGGCGGCCAACUAAGUCGGACGUGAAAUCCCUCAGCUUAACUGGGGAACUGCGUCCGAUACUGGAUGGCUUGGAUUUGGGAGAGGGAUGCGGAAUUCCAGGUGUAGCGGUGAAAUGCGUAGAUAUCUGGAGGAACACCGGUGGCGAAGGCGGCAUCCUGGACCGGCAUUGACGCUGAGGAGCGAAAGCUAGGGGAGCAAACGGG